UCUCUUACUCCUAUACCUAAGUACACCUCUCUAUUUCCCUUCCUAAAUUUAUCACAAAAUCUAAACCUCACUACAUUCUUACGUCCCCUCCUCUGUCCAAGAAUGUUGCAACUCUUGUUAAACAUGUGUUCUCAAACAAAAAAUUAAGUUAAAAAAAUAAGAAUAAAAAUAAAAUAUACCGAUAAAUAGUACCUCAUGUUCGUAAAGAUUUCUAAAUUGAGCGAGCUUGCUAAGAAUCAAUACAACCUGCAAAAUAUUUUUAAAAUCUCGUUCAAAUUUAAAUCGUAUUAGUACAAUAUCAUUCAAACAUAGCAAACAACAAUUUCUAAUUUUAAUAAUACCUUUGUUACUGAAAUUUCUUCAAGUUUAAAAAUACCAAUAUUGAUCCAAUUUCUUGUGUGGUUUCUUAUCUACAGAAUUCUCAAGACUGUUGUAAUAAACUUUCCAAAUAUAUUUAUGCUUAAUAAAUAAUACUCCUUCCGUUCCUUAAUAUAGGUCGUUUUAGACAUGUGCACAAGAAUUAAGGAAAUGAUUGAAAAGCGUUAAAUAUACUAUCAAUUGUCUAUAAUACCCUUCACCUCACUUAUCUCAUAAUAAAAAAGUUUUAUUGGGAGAAUUAGAGAAAGACUUAAGAGUAGAGGAGUAGUAUAAGAUAAUGAUAAAUAUGGAUCAAAAAAUUAGGUGGAGUAAUAUAAGGGACAAUUUGGAAAAAAUAGUUAUCAAUUCUCCUAGAUAACCACAAACGACAAAUAAUUAGGAAUAACAAAAAAAGUCUAAAACGACUUACAUAUAAGAAUGGAGGGAGUACCAUUGAGAUCU
rnacentral:lncRNA from 1 species